rnacentral:rRNA from 1 species
UACGUAGGGUGCAAGCGUUGUCCGGAAUUAUUGGGCGUAAAGAGCUCGUAGGCGGUCUGUCGCGUCUGCUGUGAAAACUCAGGGCUUAACCCUGAGCUUGCAGUGGGUACGGGCAGACUAGAGUGCGGUAGGGGAGACUGGAAUUCCUGGUGUAGCGGUGAAAUGCGUAGAUAUCAGGAGGAACACCGGUGGCGAAGGCGGCUCUCUGGACCACAACUGACGCUGAGGCGCGAAAGCUAGGGGAGCAAACAGG